AGUCCCAAGCCAGCAGCCCUUGCCAACAUGCAGCACGCAAACAGAAGAAUCGUUGCAAGAGUUCUGGGCCGCAAAUAUUGAUGGGGAGGAGGAUCAUCCGGUAUGCGAUAUUUCAAACGUGCGGACGCCGUCUCCAACCGCAAGUGAUGCAGCCCGUCUCACGGAUGGGCUUGAAGCAGCUCGCCGAUCUAAAGAUCCACAGCCGAGUAACACGCCUUCUGCCAGCGAGCGAGUUGUCGACCAAGCUGAAACUUCGGACGUCGGCGCAGAUAGUGAGAAAUAUUUCAGCUGGUUUAGUGGGGCAGCAUGUCUGCUCGAAGUGUGGUUUUUUCGUACCACGUUCAGUUUGUUUGCACAACAUACGAGAACUGUACAUAAUGGCACUGUGACUUCAUUUGUGUGCAGCAUGCGUGGAAGUAAUUAUUUCUUUCUGAAACAUUAUCAGGAGCACCACAAAAGAAGUAAGAUUAAACAUUCGGAAAGUAAUAAGCCACGGAAAGCAGUUCAUUCAGAUGGUGAAAUAAUUGAUCGUGAUGUCGUUCCUAUGUCACUAGAGCAGCAGCCGAACAACUAUGGCAUCGUAUCUAGUAUGAUGCUGGGCCUGUGCCGGCGACUAGAAGGUCGACAUAAGUGUCCGAAAACAUGCAUUGACGACGUCGUUCAAGAAGUAAGCAAUAUGUUUGCCGUAGCUGAAUUUCCCAUAGACACAGCUAAUAUUAAAACAGACAGGCUUCGGAAGCGUUGCUACGAGAACGCUGGCAUAUACGUGCCUCCAACUGAAGUGCAGCUCGAAGGAACAAAAAAUGCAUACAUUGUAAAACUUGAAGGUCUCCUAGCCAAUCUUUUGAAGCACCCGGAGAUAGUCACCCACGUGAGAAACCUUCGUCAAAGCAAGCAUAAUUCUUUACUACAAGACUUUUGUGAUGGUAGUAGAUUUCGUUCUCACCCAAUUUUUCAGAAGCAAAAUAUUAUCCUGCUUAGCCUCUACUACGACGACAUUAAAUUAGCGAAUCCUAUUGGUAUGAAGAGAGGAAGCCGAGGAAAACGUAGUAUGUUCUACGUAUCGCUUCUAAAUCUCCCACCUCAUGAACGCUUCAA